rnacentral:misc_RNA from 1 species
AAGUAAAAUGACACAGAAAUAUAUGUAAAAGAGAAAUUUAGAUAGUAAUGGGAGUGGCAGGGAUAGUGCUUUAAUCCACUGGUUUUCAUUUGUAUUUAUUUUGUUAUUUGUAAACAUAUUACUUAUUUUUUAUUUAAUUUAAUUUUAAAAUGCAGUACGCAGAUACAGAAUAAUGGAGUUUUACAUACGUAUUGUGGUUUUUUUAAAGAGUGCACUGUGUGAAGCAUUGUAUGUGUGUAAAUCAACAAAUGGUGUAUGUAUGUGUAUCUGCGUGUGAUCUGUAUGCUUAGUAUUAGAAUAAUAUCUGUUUACUUGUUAUAAUGAGAAGGACUCAAUAAAAAUAAUAACAAU